rnacentral:lncRNA from 1 species
CCAAAAUCCUUUCGCUGAAGUCGGGAUCACUCGGAUGUUGGACCAGGACACUAGACUUCUAUUAACCUGCGCACGGAAACAACCGUACGCUGAGUAUUUCAUACACAGUGGUAUUACCAUAAUUCAAAUUGCAAUAGCAAUUAAAAAAAAUAAAAUAAGAACUCAGCAUCAAAUAACAAUUCUUUUUUUUUAAGUUAUCAUUAAAUAACAAUAAAUAAACAAUCUUUAGCUAUUAUUCAAUUUUAGUUACAAAUCACAUUUACCAGGUUUUAAUCACCACAAUCAUUUUAAAUCCAUGCAUUUCAUUUCCAAUCUAAAUUUUCAAUCCACAAUUUUAAUUUCUUUCAUAUUCACUAGUACAGUCAAUCAAAUUCAUUUGAACUUCUCAUUUCAAUUAUUCACCCUAUUAACAUUUCGGACUUUAACAGAUACACGGAUUCCAACCCAAACACACCAGUACGGCACAUUGUGCCUAAAACGGUACAUAGUACCUGAUCAGUAUACGACACAUAAAGUGCCUAAAACGACACACGAGGUGCCUGAUACGACACACGAGGUGCCUGAAAUACGACACAUAUAGUGCCUGAUCGAUAAAGCCGGUAAAUCCCGUACACUUCCAUAUCCUAUGGCAUGCCAAUUAUAUCCGACUUAGCCCGACUAGUUAAUAGGGUAUUUCAAUUCUCAAUUCACUUUCAUUUCCAUUCCAAGAUUACUUUUCAAUUAAAAUUUUCACAUUCAAAUCAAUUUACAAUUCAAUUAUACAUACACAUUCACCAUUCAAUUCAAUUCUCAUUCAACUCAAAUAUCAAUACUUACCUUAUAAUUCACUUAUUAAAUAUAGAAUUGAUAUAUAGCAUUUAAUAAAAAGUAAUUUGAAUUAUAGUAAUACAAACCGUGAAUUUCUCGUUUUAAUCCUCGAUAGCUUUCUCCUUUCCUUUGUGCGCCGAUGUCUUGGGUUCUUUGUUAACUAUUAAACUUUCAAACCUUCAAACCCUAAUUCUCCCUUUUUCUUUUCUUUCUUCUUUCUUUCUUUC